rnacentral:rRNA from 1 species
CCGAGACUCAGUGAAAUUGAACUCGCUGUGAAGAUGCAGUGUACCCGCGGCAAGACGGAAAGACCCCGUGAACCUUUACUAUAGCUUGACACUGAACAUUGAGCCUUGAUGUGUAGGAUAGGUGGGAGGCUUUGAAGUGUGGACGCCAGUCUGCAUGGAGCCGACCUUGAAAUACCACCCUUUAAUGUUUGAUGUUCUAACGUUGACCCGUAAUCCGGGUUGCGGACAGUGUCUGGUGGGUAGUUUGACUGGGGCGGUCUCCUCCUAAAGAGUAACGGAGGAGCACGAAGGUUGGCUAAUCCUGGUCGGACAUCAGGAGGUUAGUGCAAUGGCAUAAGCCAGCUUGACUGCGAGCGUGACGGCGCGAGCAGGUGCGAAAGCAGGUCAUAGUGAUCCGGUGGUUCUGAAUGGAAGGGCCAUCGCUCAACG